rnacentral:rRNA from 1 species
UGCUAACGUCCGUCGUGGAGAGGGAAACAACCCAGACCGCCAGCUAAGGUCCCAAAUUACUACUAAGUGGGAAACGAUGUGGGAAGGCUCAGACAGCCAGGAUGUUGGCUUAGAAGCAGCCAUCAUUAAAGAAAGCGUAAUAGCUCACUGGUCGAGUCGGCCUGCGCGGAAGAUGUAACGGGGCUAAGUAGUAAACCGAAGCUGCGGCAAUAUACUUUUGUAUAUUGGGUAGGGGAGCGUUCUGUAAGCGGUUGAAGGUGUGUGGUAACGCAUGCUGGACGUAUCAGAAGUGCGAAUGCUGACAUGAGUAACGAUAAAGGGGGUGAAAAACCUCCUCGCCGGAAGACCA